GAGUUUGAUCAUGGCUCAGAUUGAACGCUGGCGGCAGGCCUAACACAUGCAAGUCGAGCGGUAACAGGACUAGCUUGCUAGUUGCUGACGAGCGGCGGACGGGUGCGUAACACGUAGGAAUCUGCCCGGUAGUGGGGGAUAGCCCGGAGAAAUCCGGAUUAAUACCGCAUACGCCCUAAGGGGGGAAAGAUGGCCUCUUCUCGAAAGCUAUCACUAUCGGAUGAGCCUGCGUCGGAUUAGCUAGUUGGUGAGGUAAAGGCUCACCAAGGCGACGAUCCGUAGCUGGUCUGAGAGGAUGAUCAGCCACACUGGGACUGAGACACGGCCCAGACUCCUACGGGAGGCAGCAGUGGGGAAUAUUGCACAAUGGCGCAAGCCUGAUGCAGCCAUGCCGCGUGUGUGAGAAGGCUCUAGGGUUG
rnacentral:rRNA from 1 species